GUGGGGAAUAUUGGGCAAUGGGCGAAAGCCUGACCCAGCAACGCCGCGUGAAGGAAGAAGGUUUUCGGAUCGUAAACUUCUAUCCUUGGUGAAGAUAAUGACGGUAGCCAAGAAGGAAGCCCCGGCUAACUACGUGCCAGCAGCCGCGGUAAUACGUAGGGGGCAAGCGUUGUCCGGAAUGAUUGGGCGUAAAGGGCGCGUAGGCGGCCUGGUAAGUCUGGAGUGAAAGUCCUGCUUUUAAGGUGGGAAUUGCUUUGGAUACUGUCGGGCUUGAGUGCAGGAGAGGUAAGUGGAAUUCCCGGUGUAGCGGUGAAAUGCGUAGAGAUCGGGAGGAACACCAGUGGCGAAGGCGACUUACUGGACUGUAACUGACGCUGAGGCGCGAAAGUGUGGGGAGCAAACAGGAUUAGAAACCCUAGUAGUCC
rnacentral:rRNA from 1 species